AUUUCGUUUGAUUUGCUUUGUUCUCAUGCUUUGCACAUGAUGGUAACUUGGAUUUUGAUUGGGCAGGUGCCUUUCUCACUUGAGGACCCGGAUUACAAGGGCCUUGAGCUAGAUCUGAUGGUGUUCUGCGAGAAGCAUGGGAAGCCAUCAGAGGGGCUUGUUGCAUUUGAAGGAACAAUGACUGGGAGAAGGUUCUUAGCAUGUGCAGAGCUGGAAGGUCAGAAUUGUGGGUUUGUUCAGUGGGCUGAUGAGCAGUGGCCCCCAACAGUGGAGAAUGCAUUGUUGAAGCUUUGGUCAAUGGUUGAAGAGAGCAAGUGUGCUAGGGUGAAUGAUAAUCUUGAAAGUGCUUUAACUAUUCACCAGUUGACAGAAGAAAAGAACAAGCUGGAUGCAGACUAUGACAAGUUAGUGAAAGAUGUGCAUCAACUUGUGGAUAUGCAGGAGGAUAGGGUUGUGGAUUUCAGUUAUCUACAGUCCAACAUCACAUAUCAGCAGCAAUGCAGAGUUGAAUUGGUUGCUGGUAUGAAAGUAGAAAAGGCAAAGAAAGAUGCAGAUUCAGAGAAGCUUCAAUAG
rnacentral:rRNA from 1 species